UACGGAGGGGGCUAGCGUUGUUCGGAAUUACUGGGCGUAAAGCGCACGUAGGCGGCUUUCUAAGUCAGGGGUGAAAUCCUGGAGCUCAACUCCAGAACUGCCUUUGAUACUGGGGAGCUCGAGUCCGGAAGAGGUGAGUGGAACUCCGAGUGUAGAGGUGAAAUUCGUAGAUAUUGGGAAGACACCGGUGGCGAAGGCGGCUCUCUGGACCGAGACUGACGCUGAGGCGGCGAAAAGCGUGGGGAGCAAACAGG
rnacentral:rRNA from 1 species